CAGGAUUUAGUUUAUUGAAAAUUUUACUUUUGGGUUGUAGAGAAUUUGUUCUGG
rnacentral:tRNA from 1 species